AUAGAAUGCUUUUCAUAAGCCU
rnacentral:siRNA from 1 species